rnacentral:lncRNA from 1 species
GGGAAAACUCGUUUUUUUUAAUAGAAAAUCAAUUAAUCAUUGAUGGUCCAGAUCAAAUGUAGGAUACCAAAUUCAAAGUUAGUCGUCACACCACUCCCCCAUGCAAAAUGAAGUGACAUAAGUACUCAAGUGACCUAGAUAGGAAAUCAUUCCUUAGCCUAUUCACAGGUAGACAUGUUGAGAGCAGGUAUCAAAGUGUUCUUAGGACAAUAAAGCAUUUAAUGAUCUUGUCCCCAUUACUUUUCAACUGAUUCCAAGAAUUUCAUAUACAUUUCACAUCGAAUCAUGUUUUAGAUCCCAACUAACAUUACUUAAGGCUUUCCCUGGUUCCUUCAAUGCACGACAAAGCAUUGGGGGACUCUGUUUUGGAUCGGUCAAAGGCCUAAAUGACUAAGACUCAAUCCAUCUUAAAUUCAUUCCAUUUGAUCCAAGGUAUAAAAAAAGUUCAUGCGCUGUGAGCAAGGUACAAUAUCC